GCCUUCGUGGUGUAGUGGUCAGCACGCUCGACGCGUAUUCGAGAGGUCCAUGGUUCGAAUCCCGGCGAAGGCA
rnacentral:tRNA from 1 species